GCUCUAAUCUAGAAGCAAACCGAUGAGGCUAUGGAACGAUAUAGAAAAGAUUAGCAUGACCGCAGUGUGUUGACGACACACAAACUUGUGAAGUGCUCCAUAUUUUU
rnacentral:snRNA from 1 species